GUCAGAUGAUAAGACUAUGCAUAAAUAUGCUUCACAGCUUCCUGGGAGAGCUAUUGAUCAGGUAUGGUGCUUGUUUAGAAGUGGGAGGUUAUUCUGUGCACCCUUUCUUCCAUCCACACCACCACAUAGAAACUGUUAUUGCUCUUCCACAGUUUGCUGCCUCCCCCACUCACUUUGCAGAGAGCAGAGUGAAUCCAGAAACCAGUGCUUAUUUAUAUUUACAUAAGGUUUUCAGUUCUACACACCACAAAAGAAAAUCUGCAGCUUUUCCAGCAGAAGAAAGCUGGUUCUUUGGCUUGAUAGAUACCAAACAUCUUUGGCUAACUCGACUGGCUCAGUAUUGAUUUCAGUAACAAAAGCAAUGCCCACUCAUGUUAAAUUAGUCUUGUACUGUAGCCAUUGACCAGAAACAAGGUGAAAUAAAAACUGAUUAAAAAUUAACCCACUUCAUAAAAUUGCUUAACUUUUGUAAAGAACUCUGCAGCCAUUCUUUCUGGCUUGCAGCUUUAAGAGAUAAUUGGUGAUGUGCAGAUUUUAUUUAAAGGCAGCAUGUUCCAAAUAGCUCAUAUGUGAAUGCUUUAAAUUGACACUGCCUUAAAAUGCAAAUUUCAGACUGCCAGUGCCCAAAUGCAGGACUCAGAAUAAGAGAGAUUGUAUGCCUGAUAUGAAAGGGACUCAGGCCUUCAGGAUGUUGCUUGUAACUGGAGGCACAACUCAGAAGGGCUCUGAAGUGGACUGUGGUCUGCAUUUGAGAUAGGAAAGAAGAACCAGUGGAUCCAUGUGAAGCAAGACCUUGAAAAGCUUUAUUAGGACCAGAUUCACUGAGAAUAUUAACCAGCAUCCAUGGAACCAUGAAAGCUCACGUAGACUUCAAAAUCCAAAUAAUUCAGGGCUUUUGUGGCCUUCCAUGAUACAGAAGCUGGGCAGAAAUUUUUUUAAUUGAAUCUGGCACUAAAUAAGCAAAAGAAUUGUAUAAUCAGUGCUUGGUUUAAUAGGAAGCCAGGGAAGCUCUUUAAUAUUAGAGUGAUACGAUGGAAAAGUAUAGUCCUAGAUAAAGUCCUGGCAGCUGAGCCUGGCAGAAAUUUGCCUGCAAGCAAAACUAGCGGGGAGUCCAAAAAACAGGGUAUUGUACUAAUUAACUUGGACAAAACAAGAAUAUGUACCAGAAUCUCAACAUCUUGUCAAAAAAACAUAUACUAUACCUCAGUCUGCAAACGCUGUGAGAAUGCCUAAUGCAGUAUCUUAACAGUAGCACACACACUCAUGCACACCUCUCCACCCUCCAACACUCUCCUCUUUACUCAGAGGGCAAGCCUAUUGAGAAAGCCUUGAACCCCUGAUUUUUUCCUUAUUUGAUUCCUGUUUUUUAGAGCCCUUGCAUUGUGC